rnacentral:tRNA from 1 species
AAUUUUUUGUUUAGAUGAUUUACAUAAAAUCAAAGAGAAGGAAAUUUUUUUUUUGAGUCAAAUUU